AACGAACGCUGGCGGCAUGCCUAACACAUGCAAGUCGAACGAGACCUUCGGGUCUAGUGGCGCACGGGUGCGUAACGCGUGGGAACCUGCCUUUAGGUUCGGAAUAACUUCCCGAAAGGGGUCCUAAUACCGGAUAAUGUCUUCGGACCAAAGUUUUAUCGCCUUUGGAGGGGCCCGCGUUGGAUUAGCUAGUUGGUAGCGUAAAGCCUACCAAGGGGACGGUCCAUAGCUGGUCUGAGAGGAUGAUCAGCCACACCGGGACUGAGACACAGCCCAGACUCCUACGGGAGGCAGCAGUGGGGAAUAUUGGACAAUCGGCGGAAGCCUGAUCCAGCAAGGCCGCGUGAGUGAUGAAGGCCUGAGGGUAGUAAAGCUCUUUUACCCGGGAUGAUAAUGACAGUACCGAGAGAAUAAGCUCCGGCUAACUCCGUG
rnacentral:rRNA from 1 species